GUAGAUUACACUUAGCAUGAAACUUGUAGCCAUAUGUACAAGCUGAAGAUACAACAUCAAACUGGAAUGGUAUCUAGCAAUUCUCUAACUCGCACAUCCACGUCACCUCCAAAGGAACGAUCAAGCAUGUAUCAUCAUCCUUGGGGUGCUUCUCCCAUGUAGUGUCUUCUUAGCAGCUACUGAAAAGGCUUGUGCAGCUUCAGCAUCAGCUUCAGCAGCCUCAGCCUCCCUACCAGCCUCCUCAGCUUCAGCUAUGGCUUCUUCUGCUUCAGCAACCGCUUGUGCAGCAGCAGCUGCAGCCUCUUGAGGUGUCAUGUUCCUCAUUCUAGCUAGCUCUAAAUCUAUCUGAGAUGUACUAAGCAUGGUCAUAUCAUCCCGAUCAAUCUUGGGGAAGAUCCUCUGCCUGCUGUCCAAAAGUGGAAGGGACAGGUUUCUUCUACUGUCAGAUGGUGUUGACAUAGGUACUAUUCUAUACCUACGCUUCAUCUUGAUAAGUUUCCCUGUUGCAGUUAAAUACUUCAGUUUCCCGGACAGUAGCCUUUUAAAAUUUGGAGGUGCCCAGUACUGGUCCUCUAUGUAUUCAGCUA
rnacentral:misc_RNA from 1 species